rnacentral:rRNA from 1 species
UACGAAGGGGGCUAGCGUUGCUCGGAAUCACUGGGCGUAAAGCGCACGUAGGCGGCUUGUUAAGUCAGGGGUGAAAUCCUGGAGCUCAACUCCAGAACUGCCUUUGAUACUGGCGAGCUUGAGUUCGGGAGAGGUGAGUGGAACUGCGAGUGUAGAGGUGAAAUUCGUAGAUAUUCGCAAGAACACCAGUGGCGAAGGCGGCUCACUGGCCCGAUACUGACGCUGAGGCGCGACAGCGUGGGGAGCGAACUGG